rnacentral:rRNA from 1 species
UACAGAGGUCUCAAGCGUUGUCCGGAAUUAUUGGGCGUAAAGAGCUCGUAGGCGGUUUGUCGCGUCUGCUGUGAAAACUCGGGGCUUAACCCUGGGCCUGCAGUGGGUACGGGCAGACUAGAGUGCGGUAGGGGAGACUAGAAUUCCUGGUGUAGCGGUGAAAUGCGCAGAUAUCAGGAGGAACACCGGUGGCGAAGGCGGGUCUCUGGGCCGUAACUGACGCUGAGGAGCGAAAGCGUGGGGAGCGAACAGG